ensembl:processed_transcript A430093F15Rik RIKEN cDNA A430093F15 gene
AGAACCUCAGCGGCCAGCCUCCGAGGGACAGGCUCUGCCCUAGUGCCUCGGUGACACCAGUCUUGAAAAUAUGACAUUGGACACGAGGUAUGAAUCACAUCCUGCUUCAGUGAGCCUUUGACAAGAUGUUGCAGAAAACAGCUUUACAAUGUGGGGGCCUGUGUGCAACUUACUGUCUGUCGGUGCUGGAGAUCAGGGUCUUGGGGCCUCCAGAAGCACCUUCCACCUUCCACACAGCGCGAAAACAAGAAACAGGGAUGAUGGUCAGGUCCCAGUGACUUAAAACCCAUUUUUUUUUUUUUUUUAAGAUAAAUUGGGUAGGCACAAGUGUUAGUGCAUGGAGCUCGGACCUGGCUUUUUAUGGUACAGCUGCAGAGUUGACUUCUACCCGUGACUGUUGCCAUCAAGUCCUAAGGUAUUUACUAGUCCCCUCGCCUGGCUCCUGACCGAUAGCCAAACCUGCAAAAGUGCGUUGUUUGGAUAACAUAGUCUCUGGGCUUUGUUUCAGUUCUAAGAGUUUAAGAACUCUAAGAAAGCACUCUGAGACGUGCUCAGGUAUGCAUGACCAGCAUCUCCCCGGAGAAGCCAUCUUUUAAACUGACUCUAGAGAAGGCAGGCCUCUCUUACUGAAGACGGACCAGGGACUAAUGGCCCCUCAGGGGGCACUGGAGUUGGCUGUGGACAUUUUGGGAAGGAGCUCUUCCCAGAACCUUCGGUUUCAGUGUUUGUAGCCGACAGAUGAAAGUUUGUAUGAGUCCCUGUGUUCACUUACAAACACCCCACAGUGUCCCUGGAUGCCUUCCGUGGUCCCUUCCCAGGUUACAAACUUCCUGGACCUGUAGCAGCCUCAGGGAAGCCAGACACAGCAAACUGGAAGGGCGCUAUACCCUGCCAGCCCCACCCUGGUACAAGACUUGAGGACUGGCACAUAUGUCUGCCACCCACUCCGUGGUCAACCCACUCCGUGGGGCAACUUAAUGAGACUCUGACUCCAAAAACAUAAAAUUUUAAAAAUGAAGGAAAGGCUGAGCUUAUAGCUCAGUGGCAGGGCGCUUCCUGGGCGUGUGUGGGGCAUGGGUUCACCUUCAGCAUUGCAAGACAAAAGCUCAUCUAGAGAUUGAUUGGCCUCUGCAUUGCCAGUUGGAGGCCUUAGAGAAGGAAAAAUCUAUACUAUGGACUCAUGCCUCAGCUAUGGCCCGUGAGACUCUCUCAGCAUCAGUGACUUCGUCUCCAAAGCUGGGCAAAGUCCUGGAAUUUGUCAGCAAACCUUGGGCCUCAGCCGCUCCUCUAGAGAGAGGAGAGGGUGAUGUGUUGGAAGGCCUGUCCUUAGGACACUGCAUCUCUGCUGGCUGGGCCUCUUGGUAACGGUUUCUGUUGAUGCCGAGGGAAAUAAGGCCUGAGGCAGAUGGUGAGAAAGCUGCGCUGGCAGCCAGAAGGGAGCGGAGCCAGCUGGAGCCACGAGUCAGGGCAGACUCUCGAAGCUCAGUUUCCUUGGGUCUCUGCAUCUAGCCCUGAGGUCGACGCCCUGAACUUCUGGGACCCCAGGAAUGUGGGAUUCAAAGAGGCCAGUUCUGCUGGAGACAGUUCCACACCAAGGAUGCUUACAGGGUGACUUUCCCAAGGACACAGUCCCUAUCUUCUAGGUGCCUGGACUCCACACAUGCCAAGUGCUCCUGAAAUGAAGUUCUAGAACCCACAGCUACUGGGCCGGACUCUAGUGGGAAAGCAAUGCCUGCGAGUUUGCUUGGACUGGCCUUGAACUCACUAUAUGGUUAAGUAUGAUCUUGAACCUCUCAUCCUCCUGCCUCAGCCUCCUGAGUGUUGGGAUGACUGGUGUGUUUCCUAAACACAACACUACUUCUUUACAGACUCCAGCAUACGUUCAGAGCGUGAAACUUGACCCUGAGUGCACCCUGUUACUCGACCUGUAGCCCUCACCCUGUUUGUGCCUGUCCAUCAAUGCCUUCUUAGUAAAAGAAAACCCUAGUGCCAUGGCUGCUCUCUCAGGCUCCUCUGAUAGGAAGCAGGCCCUAAGUCUUUGGAUUUUGUCUUUUAAAAAACACAUGUCAGAUGCUUCAUAAAAUGUCAAAGAUCUCAUUGAAAAUAAACUUAUUUUUAUUUUCUUUUUCUACAA